rnacentral:rRNA from 1 species
AGAGUUUGAUCCUGGCUCAGAACGAACGCUGGCGGCGUGCUUAACACAUGCAAGUCGAGUGCGCGUCCGUAGCAAUACGGAUGGCGCACGGCGCACGGGUGCGUAACACGUGGGCAAUCUGCCCUUCGAUGGGGAAUAACUCCGGGAAACCGAAGCUAAUUCCGCAUAACAUUCCUUGGACCUCGGUUCGGGGACUCAAAGCCGUAAGGCGUCGAAGGAGGAGCCCGCGCCCGAUUAGCUAGUUGGUGAGGUAACGGCUCACCAAGGCAAUGAUCGGUAGCUGGUCUGAGAGGAUGGCCAGCCACACUGGAACUGAGACACGGUCCAGACUCCUACGGGAGGCAGCAGUGGGGAAUCUUGCGCAAUGGGCGAAAGCCUGACGCAGCGACGCCGCGUGGGGGAUGAAGCAUCUCGGUGUGUAAACCCCUUUCGACUGGGACGAAUGCCUCGCAAGAGGAGUGACGGUACCAGUAGAAGAAGCCCCGGCUAACUACGUGCCAGCAGCCGCGGUAAGACGUAGGGGGCCAGCGUUGUUCGGAAUUACUGGGUGUAAAGGGUUCGUAGGCGGUGUGGCAAGUCGGGAGUGAAAUCUAUGGGCUUAACCCAUAGGCUGCUUCCGAAACUGCCGUGCUUGAGUGUGGGAGAGGCGCGUGGAAUUGCAGGUGUAGCGGUGAAAUGCGUAGAUAUCUGCAGGAACACCCGUGGCGAAAGCGGCGCGCUGGACCACUACUGACGCUGAGGAACGAAAGCUAGGGGAGCAAACAGGAUUAGAUACCCCAGUAGUCC